rnacentral:rRNA from 1 species
AUGCCGGCGGUGAGGAGGAGGGAGAGGGACGCGGAGGCGGAGCUCAACCUGCCGCCGGGCUUCCGCUUCCACCCCACCGACGACGAGCUCGUGGAGCACUACCUGUGCCGCAAGGCGGCCGGCCAGCGCCUGCCCGUGCCCAUCAUCGCCGAGGUCGACCUCUACCGCUUCGACCCGUGGGCGCUCCCCGACCGCGCCCUCUUCGGCACCCGCGAGUGGUACUUCUUCACCCCGCGCGACCGCAAGUACCCCAACGGCUCCCGCCCCAACCGCGCCGCCGGCAACGGAUACUGGAAGGCCACCGGCGCCGACAAGCCCGUCGCGCCCCGCGGUGGGAGGACCAUGGGGAUCAAGAAGGCCCUGGUGUUUUACGCCGGCAAGGCGCCCAAGGGGGUUAAGACCGACUGGAUCAUGCAUGAGUACCGCCUCGCCGACGCCGGCCGCGCCGCCGCCAGCAAGAAGGGCUCGCUCAGGCUGGACGACUGGGUGCUCUGCCGGCUCUACAACAAGAAGAACGAGUGGGAGAAGAUGCAGCUCCAGCAGCAGGGGGGAGAGGAGAUGAUGGUGGAGCCCAAGGAGGAGCACGCCGCGUCGGACAUGGUGGUCACCUCGCACUCCCACUCGCAGUCCCAGUCGCACUCGCACUCCUGGGGCGAGGCGCGCACGCCCGAGUCGGAGAUCGUCGACAACGACCCGUCGCUGUUCCAGCAGGCGGCGGCGUUCCAGGCCCAGAGCCCCGCCGCCGCGGCGGCGCACCAGGAGAUGAUGGCCACGCUGAUGGUGCCCAAGAAGGAGGCGGCGGACGAGGCCGGCAGGAACGACCUGUUCGUGGACCUCAGCUACGACGACAUCCAGAGCAUGUACAACGGCCUCGACAUGAUGCCGCCAGGGGACGAUCUGCUCUACUCGUCCCUCUUCGCCUCCCCAAGGGUCCGGGGGAGCCAGCCCGGCGCCGGCGGCAUGCCGGCCCCGUUCUAA